AUGCCUUACACAUGCAAGUCGAACGGCAGCAUGAUCUAGCUUGCUAGAUUGAUGGCGAGUGGCGAACGGGUGAGUAAUACAUCGGAACGUGCCCUGUAGUGAGGGAUAUCAAGUCGAAAGAUUAGCUAAUACCGCAUACGACCUGAGGAUGAAAGUGGGGGACCGCAAGGCCUCAUGCUAUAGGAGCGGCCGAUGUCUGAUUAGCUAGUUGGUGGGGUAAAGGCCCACCAAGGCGACGAUCAGUAGCUGGUCUGAGAGGACGAUCAGCCACACUGGGACUGAGACACGGCCCAGACUCCUACGGGAGGCAGCAGUGGGGAAUUUUGGACAAUGGGCGAAAGCCUGAUCCAGCAAUGCCGCGUGUGUGAAGAAGGCCUUCGGGUUGUAAAGCACUUUUGUCCGGAAAGAAAUGGCUCUGGUUAAUACCUGGGGUCGAUGACGGUACCGGAAGAAUAAGGACCGGCUAACUACGUGCCAGCAGCCGCGGUAAUACGUAGGGUCCAAGCGUUAAUCGGAAUUACUGGGCGUAAAGCGUGCGCAGGCGGUUGUGCAAGACCGAUGUGAAAUCCCCGAGCUUAACUUGGGAAUUGCAUUGGUGACUGCACGGCUAGAGUGUGUCAGAGGGGGGUAGAAUUCCACGUGUAGCAGUGAAAUGCGUAGAGAUGUGGAGGAAUACCGAUGGCGAAGGCAGACCCCUGGAGAUAACACUGACGCUCAUGCACGAAAGCGUGGGGAGCAAACAGGAU
rnacentral:rRNA from 1 species